GUGUGAGGAGCCUCCACCCGGCUGUAACUUAACAAUCAGCAAUGGAACGAUUCCUGAGUGUUGCCAUCUAAGCUGUUUGAAAAUAACUCAGAGAUGCCUCUCAACUAACGGCACGCUGUUAGACGAUGGCCAAAGCAUAGCCCUCGCAACACCCUGUAGGAAUGAAACCUGUGUUCACGGGGACCUUAAAUUUCAAGAGUGCCCGAAAGAGACUGACCCAAAGUGCUCUCCUUCUUUUGGAGCGGGCGAACCUUUUCCCACAUGUUGCGGCGUGGGUAGAGUCUGCUCAAG
rnacentral:lncRNA from 1 species